GGUUGCUCUUUCUAAGCAGGAAGCUAGGAUUGACUUUUAGGCUGACGGCUGUGACGCGUGGGAUCGAAGUCCUGAUCGUAUACUAGCCCAGAACAGCACAGCCGAAGAGCUAGACCACAUGGCUACCGCUCACUUACGCCCUUGGCCUUAGGGCAGGGCUUAGCUCGCUCUUGGAAGAGGGGAACGAACAGCUUUGAUGAAAGACGUGCUUUCAAGCCGAAAAGAACUAACUAGCCGAAACCGCUUAUGGAAUCGCCUAUCCGGCAUGCCAGGAAGAACAAUAGCUC
rnacentral:misc_RNA from 1 species